rnacentral:rRNA from 1 species
GGUUUGAUCCUGGCUCAGGACGAACGCUGGCGGCGUGCCUAACACAUGCAAGUCGAACGAGUCCAGUCUUCGGACUGAGGCGAGUGGCGGACGGGUGAGUAACACGUGAGCAACCUAUCCUUGUGCGGGGGACAACCCGGGGAAACCCGGGCUAAUACCGCAUGGGCAGGCACCUCGAGUGGGGAGCCUGGGAAAGAUGGCCUCUUAGCAAUGCUGUCGUGCAGGGAGGGGCUCGCGGGCUAUCAGCUAGUUGGGGGGUAAGUGGCCCACCAAGGCGGCGACGGCUACGGGGUCGUGAGAGGACGACCCCGCACAUUGGAACUGAGACACGGUCCAGACUCCUACGGGAGGGCAGCAGUGGGGAAGUAUUGGGGCAAUGGGCGGCAAGCCUGACCCAGCGACGCCGCGUGCGGGAUGACGCCUUCUUCGGAGUGUAAACCGCUGUCAGAGGGGACGAACGGCCUCAUGGGGAAUACUCAUGGGGAUUGACGGUACCCUCAAAGGAAGCGCCGGCUAACUCCGUGCCAGCCGCCGCCGUAA